CCUACGGGAGGCAGCAGUGGGGAAUAUUGGACAAUGGGGGGAACCCUGAUCCAGCGACGCCGCGUGAGUGAAGAAGUAUUUCGGUAUGUAAAGCUCUAUCAGCAGGGAAGAAAGGAAUGACGGUACCUGACUAAGAAGCCCCGGCUAACUACGUGCCAGCAGCCGCGGUAAUACGUAGGGGGCAAGCGUUAUCCGGAUUUACUGGGUGUAAAGGGAGCGUAGACGGUUACGCAAGUCUGGAGUGAAAGGCGGGGGCCCAACCCCCGGACUGCUUUGGAAACUGUAUAACUGGAGUGCCGGAGGGGCAAGCGGAAUUCCUAGUGUAGCGGUGAAAUGCGUAGAUAUUAGGAGGAACACCGGUGGCGAAGGCGGCUUGCUGGACGGUAACUGACGUUGAGGCUCGAAAGCGUGGGGAGCAAACAGGAUUAGAUACCCGUGUAGUC
rnacentral:rRNA from 1 species